rnacentral:rRNA from 1 species
UACGGAGGAUGCAAGCGUUAUCCGGAAUGAUUGGGCGUAAAGCGUUCGUAGGUGGUUUUUCAAGUCUGCUGUUAAAGCGCAGGGCUUAACUCUGUAACGGCGGUGGGAACUGAAAAGCUAGAGUGCGGUAGGGGUGGAGGGAACUCCCUGUGUAGCGGUGAAAUGCGUAGAGAUAGGGAAGAACACCAGUAGCGAAAGCGCUCUACUGGGCCUGCACUGACACUGAGGGACGAAAGCUAGGGGAGCGAAUGGG